AAUAUGUCUUGCAGAUACUUCUAAAAUUUAUUGGAUAUCUUGAUAAGUCAUCAUAACAUAAUAUCCAAAUGAGUACAAGCACCUGCAAUUUAUUAACUACUACGUCUUCCACAAUCUUCUAAAAUUUACUGGAUAUCUUGAUGAAUCAUCAAAACAUAAUGCCAUGUCAUACAACCAUAGAUCACAGACUUGGAUCAAAGAAGGUGGAGCCAAAGAGGUACUUAAUAAGACAACUGACCAAAUCACUGGACAGAUAACUUGACAACAAGAAAAAGAAGUCUACCUGUUAGGCAUAUGCGGCAUAUGCAUGCUUGGAAAUUGAUAAGGUCUAGAGGCUCUACAAUUCCUAUCACCGUUAAUUCAAGCCUUGCAGGCAAUAUAAUGCUUUCUUCUAGAUGAUCAGUGAAGUAAACUUAGAGUUGUUUGUUCUGAAGCAUGAACCAAAUGGAGGUUUUGGGGGCUUCUGAGCCUUUUCAUCAUGCCAACAUCAUUCUCUAUUGCUUCAAUCUCCCUAUCUAGAAGUCCAUUUUCCUCUUUCAGCAUAAUUUCCUUCUUGUGGAGAACCUUUAUAGACUCCAACAUCAGUUCUGUCUUUCUAGCUCUGGUUUGUGUCAGUGCAGCAUCAAAGUGAUUUUCCAAUUUGAUAAGAUCGGUCAAGCUAAGGUGCUCACGAUUUGGACCCUCAAGCUGCAUUUCAACUAUUUGCAGUAGCUCUGCAUAUGACUUAAAUCUUGAAAAAUCCACUUGAAGGAUCUUUCUAUCAUUAGCACCUUUGAAAGAAGCAGUUUCCCCUUCAAGAUGCCUCUCGUAUUCUUCGAGAAUCUUGUCCAAACUUCCGUUGCUACAGAACUCAUAGAGCUUGCCGCUGCUGGAGAAGAUGAUUACACCAAUUUCAACGUCGCAGAGUACGGAGAGUUCGCGAGCCUUCUUAAUCAAUCCGUUUCUCCUCUUGGAGAAAGUCACCAGACGGCUGCUUUUGUCUUCGAUUCGCUUCAUCUCCACCUUCUUUCGCCCCAUUCUCAAUCAAAAUUCCGACCUAAUUUGCUUGAGCAAGAGCAGAGUGAAGACCAAGAUGAAGACAACUAGAGGAGAAGUGGAAAAACAAAAAGUGAAAGGGGAUGAAUACCUG
rnacentral:misc_RNA from 1 species